CCCAGGUCCCGCUGCCAUGUGAGACACCUGCUACAAGCAAUACAGAAAUGCCUACCACAAACCACUUGCUACCUAAAAAGGGCCAUGGGAAAUCUGGAUCAAUUCCUGCAGCAUGGAUGGGGCAGGGAGCCUGGUCUGAGGCAGUGAGGUACGUGGGGCAGCCCAGCACUGCCCUUAGUUCUGGUGCCCCACACGUGUGGCUCUGUGCCCACCGCCUCCACUCAGCGUGCCCAGCCUGCCGAGUAUCGCUGCUAAUAAUGUACCAGACCGGAUCCUCGGCUGAGCUAAAUAAAUGCGGCUCCCUCCACUGGUCUCCGUGGAGUGACUUUGAUUUACGACAGCUGAGAUCUGGGCUGGUUCAUUCCUUGCAAAAUUGAAGUUGGGCUGGGAGGACACUUGAAGGUCAGCCAGGCCAGCCUCCAAGCGCGGGCAGGACUGGUGCUGCUGUCCUCGUCCAGCAGCUGUGCCCAGCCGGCUCCCAGAUCGCCCAGCAGCCCCGACAACAUCGCUGCUCCCACAGGCAGGGACACUGGGACAGGCUGAGGGGACCUGGUGCAGGGCUCACUGCAUUGGCAGCUAGGCAUGUUUCCUGCCUGCAAGGUCGAGACUGAAGUGUGGUCCCAGAACAUCGAGUACAGAGGGACGCUGGAGCCUUGGUCUGAGCCGCAAGGGUGCAGGAGCUGAUGCUGCCUGGCCUCGCAAGGAGCUCCACACCACCACUGCCACCACAGGAGCCAGGAGUCACAGCCUGCAGAGCCCUUCCCCCGCCCAGACCCCAGCCUCGCGCCAGCUACCCCCACAGCCCCUUCUGUGCCCCUGUGGUGCUGCUGCUGCAGCAGGAGGCAUCUUGUGAGCCAUGAGUUAGGUACUGCUCUUUUGGUUUCUCUGGAGCCAUCUUGGUCCAAUGUCUUGGCAGAGGAACAGAAAGCUGAGUCUGUCUCCAGCAAGCAACCAUCCGUGACUAGAUACUGCCACCCUUGGCUGCUUGGUGCCACUCAGACACCACCCGUUUUAUGCACAAACUUUGCCCGGCCUCUGUGCCACCAUGCCCCUGCCCUCAGUGUCCCAAAAGAAGAGAAGCCUAGCCCAUCGCCCAGCUCUUCUCCCCCCAGAUGCCUCCAGGAUGAUCCUGACACCACACAGCAGAUGCGAUGUCCCACGCUCCUCUCUCAACUGCAGGCACCAAAGGUGACACAAAGCACAGAUCCCUGCACUCCCACCCCAAGCUAAGCCUAUCAGGAUAGCAUAGGCUGCAGUCAGAAGUAACACAGGUUUGGUUGGACAGCCAAGAGAAAGCCAAGCUGCUCUCCCUUCCAACAGUUCCCGGGACCCACUGGAGAAGCCUGGAAGGAUCCAGGACACUCCAGCGUUGCACAAGAGAUGACUGGGCAAGAGGAGAUCUUGUGGGGAGGUAAUGCAAGCAGGAAGCUCAGCGCUGGUGUGACCGACACGCCAAGUUCCCUGAGAGCCAUCAGCUCUUCAGCUGUGCCACUAGGUUGGAUGUGGCAUCUGGACUGGACCUGAUCGUGCUCCAGAUGAGCACACCCCAGAAAAGGGAAAAGCUGCAGCCUCCCAGCAGGCUGAAUCCUAAGUGCCUCAGCCCAAGACCUUACUGGGAGAGGGAAGAGUACAAGGAAGGCAGUGUGUCAGCCUGGGCAUGGUCUCAUGUAUGGCCAGGUUGGAAGAGGUGGGACUGAGCACCCUGGCCUACUCCCCUGCUCCCCAGCAGCACUGGUAAGGCUGUGGCUACAAAACAUGCAGCACAGGGUUAGACUUGACGCUGAGCUGUGGUGGCCCAGGUGGGCAGCAAGCAGUUUGGGUCACUCACCUCAGGUUGGAGGCCAAGGGAGUACCAAAGCUGUCCUCUGAGCAGCAAGGGCUGUGCCGAGCACCUUUCCUUUGCCUCCUUCUCUCCUCCUCCCUUUCAGUCCAGGGGGCAUCUGUGGCUGAACUGGUCCCAGAGUCCGGCUCCAAGUGAGCCAGAGGAGCAAAGUUCUCCUCGAUCAGCUUUGCACUAUCUCGGAUCUGUCCCUGUACUUCUGGGGUGAGGGUUGGGAGAUCAAAAGUGAAAAAGGUCCCAUGGGUGCGGGCUGGGGAGGAGAGGAUGUCAAUGGAGUCCAGGCUGGUGUAAGAUGUGCCUUUGGCUCGAUGGGACUCCAUGAUGCUCUCAAAAUGCUUGCUGAAAGAGUCCAUGCCAUCCUUGGAGAGGCUGUGCCCUAGCAGGAAGGGCACUGGAGACUUGAGCAUACCCUGUAUGUCUCGAUCCAUGAUCCUAGAGGGAAAGAAAGCGAGAGGAACUGGUCACUGAGGAGCAAGAGGUCAAAGCCCCAAACAAAAGCCCCUGCCUUGCUCCAGAAGGAAACUGGGGAGGGUAGAAGUCUCUUCUGAACAUCUGAGUACACCAGGCCUCCAAAGGAAAUGCCUUGCCUGCCCAAGACAUCAUGGGAAGAGGGCCAUGCUGGCCUCCCUCCAGCCAUAUGCCUCUCCUUUAAUGCGCCAUGGACUUUUGUUCCCUUAGUGGCUCAUCCUCCUAAGAAGCUUAUGAGAUGGCUACUGCUCCCAGCCACUCGGCUUGAGCUUAGAUCCAAUAAAGGGCUCAGGCACCAAAAACAGGAUGCAGUUCAGCUCCACUGCCAAACAAAUCCACAAGUGCCUGAAUUUUUCAUGAGCCUUCAGAGCUUCGAGCACCCGCGGCACUCCUGGAGCCACUGAGGACAGAGUGACACCUUCCUCUGCAUAUGUGACACAGCAGUCACGGAGCCAAGCCCACCUGCAAGGUUAGCAUAAGCAGCAGCUGCCCACACUCAUUUUGAAGGAGGAGGAAAAAGCAGGAUGGCCUGAUGGUGGUGAGAGCACCUCAAAGGGAUUGGGCUGCCUUCAGAUUGGCUCACCUCCUCCCUGCCAAAGCACCUGCACUAUGCUCUCUGUGCCCUGGCAAACCACCCGGGUGGUCAUGGAUCACCCCGCAGGAGGCUCAGCUUGUCUACAGCACGGCUCUGUGUCCAGCCCAACACAGGAGCUCCUACAUCUCGAACCCCUGAGCAUUUUGUCCCAGAGAUGAGCCUGCCCUUCAGUCUAAGCAUGUGACACAGGGAUAUUUCCAACACAGAGAAUGUCAGUGCUUCAGUCCUAUAAGCCCAAACGCAACCCUAAAAGUCUGUUUCACUCACAAGCUGCUAUCACUUUAUUAGAGCACCAAAAAAGCACUUGUUAUGCCACUCACUGUCCUGAUUAAAAGCGAAUAACUGAUCCAGCUUGUCAUAACAUUUGUUAUGAGCAAACAGCUCCAUACAGAAGGCUCAGAAAAUGCAGUGCUGUUACAAGCACGAAGUGGUUUAUCAUUUAUUAGCCUUCAUAUCCUGCUCCAGAAUCUCACGGAUUAUUGUACCAGGCCCCGAGCUGACAGCCUCACUGCACCAGAAUGCAGAGGGCUUCAGGGGGCGCCCAGCAAGGUGGGCACUGCAGGAUCACAGAGUCAUUGAUGCUGGAAAAGUCCACUAAUACUGCCUAGCCCAACUGCUGACCGAAGGCAGGUAAGGAAAGCAGGAUGGAGGCUGCUCCUGGCAGCCCAUGAGCACUGCCCAGCUAUGCAGUCCUGCUGUCUGCUCCUACCAGCACAGCCUGAGCGCCAGAAAGCACUGCACAGAGCUUGCUGGUGAGAAUAGGGAAAGGAGAUCUCUAUAGCACUUACAGUUGUGAACAUGCAUUCAUUGCCUUUGCCACUUUGCAGUGUGCUGUUGAAUGGAGCUAAUGUUGCUGAUUUCAUUUUGCAUCAUUUUGCACGCACACAGCAGCGAUGGGCAGUGCAAAAACAAAUACGUUUCCAGCUUUGAGCUGACGUGGGAGGCAUGGUGAUCCUUUCUUGGAGAUGGGCCAGGUGGGUAAGUAGGGGACACCCAUCCCAGGCACCGAUAACCGUGCUGCAUGGCAUGCUGACACCUCAGCCGGCACUGCUGGGCACCGCGUGGAGCUGAGCAACCAGAUCUCAGCAGCCACAUCAGCAGAGGGGAAGGGGCUCCUGUGUCCCCCAGCACAUCAGCGUCCUCAUACUGGUGGCUGGUGUCCCAUCUGAGAAGGCUGCCCCAGCGGCAGACCCGAGGGCUGUGCUGGGCAAUGCUCUGCUCCCAGGGAGGACAGGCGCUCCUGCCUCCGGCUGGCCCCCACACACUGGGCAGCGGGGCACGGUGCUGCAGAGCCGGCUCUGGCUCACUCAGCAGCACUGCCCCCGGCUUAGUGUCCCCCCUCCCCCCGGGACGCUCAAGAGGAGCCCGCUCUUGCUGACAGGUCUCGGCACUGUGGGACUAAUGGGAAUAAAGACAGCAAAGGCUUAGACUGGUCAUUAGCCGUAGAGCUGGCUCUAAAUAUAUUCAGGGAGUGGAUUCUGGAAGAAGACACUGUUUCUUAUGUCACUUUCCACGUCUUGUUUGAUUUUGUAUCAGAUUUUUUAUCCUGAUGUCCUGCUGCACGUUCUCUUAUUUUAGGAGAGCAAAUGACAACGAAGGUGCCUUUUGGCAAGAAUAUAAAGGGCAACAAAGUAAUGCCAAGCCAGUCCCCCCCGCGCAGAGGGUGCUAAACCCCUAAGGCUAGAUUUUCAAAGGGAUUUACAUGUCUAAAUGCUGCAAAUCAGCAUCCAGUGGUGCCUCAGUAGUUUUGCAGGGCUGCUCCUUCGCAUCUACCAACAAAGUGCUCUGCAGAGGACUGGCUGGGAUGGAAGCCACUGGUUUGCAACAGCUCCUGCAGAACAAAGCGGUGCUGGCUCUUGGAAGAUGGGGCAGCUUUUAAUGACCCCAGCAUCACCGCAUCGCCCCUCCUGUGAGCAGACAAAGCAGAAAGCUUGAAGCAGAAAACAUCAAUACUGGUGACUGGUAAAUGGGAGGGAGGGCUGCAGCUGCAGAGCUUGCUCUGAAGUGGUGUGUAAGCAAAGCCCAGGCUGUGAUGCAGGCGCUGAACCAGCUCACUAUUUCAGUCUGGUGAUUUUUGGCACUGCUGUCUGCAGGGUCUGUGCCUCACUGGGGAAUAGCCAGGGGUCUGUCUGCACAUCAAAAAAAUCUGAAAACCACCGGUCUACAAGGAAGCAGCAUAAAAUGAGCAGGACACCAUCGUAUGCGCCCUGGUAAUUAUGCCUGGAGCACUGUGUUGAGGGCAGCAAUGCGCUGGGGUACACACCUGAGCUUUCUGGCCGUGCCUGGGGAGCUCCAGCACGGUGUCCCAGAGGGCAAAAGGCAGGUACAGGCUAACAGCCCACAGACAUGUAAUGGCCCUUAGGUGUUUGGAAAUGAAUUAUCACCACGUAAAAGAAUUGUUACCGUAACUUGAAUAACUUGCUUGGAGUGAUAAUAUGACUUACAAAGCU